UAACCUCCCUAAUACUAUCAGCACCGCCAUCUAACCUCUAUAACCUCCAGUUAUUCACCCAUUCACUAAAAAAAGAAAGAAAGAAAAGCAGGAAGAAAGAAAAGGGACAGAGAAGAGAGGGAGAUUCGAGAAAGCAGGGGGGAACGGAGGAGAAUGAGAGGGAAGAAAGGAAGGAGCUGGCCGGCGCUAUUGGGUCCGCCGCCACCGUUGCGCGCCGUUGUUGCCGCCGAGCCCACUGCCGUCGCGUCACUGCGGCUAUGCCGUCACAGAUGAGGAGAGAGGCGACAGAGGGAGAGAAAAUCCGCGGUGGAGAAAGAGAAAGCGCGCUCGUGAGGGAUGUCAAAGUUGCGUUCCAUCGUUGUGCUGCACGAGGUUGCCGCCGUCGCCUCAAGGCUCGCCAUCGUCAUCCUCGGCGGGAGCCCUUGCUGUCACUAGUGGAGCCGUAUCCGCCGCCGGUCUGAGCUGAGAAGAAACACAUGGAGAGAGAACAGGGGGCUUCGUGGGAGCUCCAUCGUACCACUCCUGCCAGCCGCCGCCCAGUCCUGCUGCCAAUUGGAGCCCUAGCCAUUGCAGUCAAUUGGGGUCAAAAUCGUUGCUAUGUUCCCAGAGCUGUCAUGGAAGUGGCUGAUUCGGUUCCAAUUCCUCCAUUGUUGAGACUGGCUGUGUUCACUUUCAAUACCUAUUCUAUUUGGAUUCUCUAUUCUGCUGUAACUACCAUUAUCAUCGUGGAAUUGUUGCCGCUGCUGCCAUGAAA